rnacentral:rRNA from 1 species
GACGAACCGAGCGAACGUUGUUCGGAAUCACUGGGCUUAAAGGGCGCGUAGGCGGGCUGCCGCGUCCGGGGUGAAAUCCCACGGCUCAACCGUGGAACUGCCCCGGAUACGGGCGGCCUCGAGGGGGGUAGGGGCAUCUGGAACUGUGAGUGGAGCGGUGAAAUGCGUUGAUAUUCACAGGAACUCCGGUGGCGAAGGCGAGGUGCUGGACCCCUCCUGACGCUGAGGCGCGAAAGCCAGGGGAGCAAACGGGAUUAGAAACCCCCGUAGUCC